rnacentral:rRNA from 1 species
GCCGGCGACCGGCGCACGGGGUGAGUAACACGUAUGUAACCUGCCCUAUGCAGGGGGGAUAACCCGGAGAAAUCCGGCCUAAUACCGCGUAACACCUUUUGGGAGCAUUCCCGGGAGGUUAAAGGAGAGAUCCGGCAUAGGAUGGACAUGCGUCGCAUUAGGUAGACGGCGGGGUAACGGCCUACCGUGCCGACGAUGCGUAGGGGUUCUGAGAGGAAGGCCCCCCACACUGGUACUGAGACACGGACCAGACUCCUACGGAAGGCAGCAG